rnacentral:rRNA from 1 species
GUGACUGCGUACCUUUUGUAUAAUGGGUCAGCGACUUAUAUUUUGUAGCGAGGUUAACCGAAUAGGGGAGCCGAAGGGAAACCGAGUCUUAACUGGGCGUCUAGUUGCAAGGUAUAGACCCGAAACCCGGUGAUCUAGCCAUGGGCAGGUUGAA